UGCUCCAUCCUCCCUCUUCUCCAGCCAGCCUGAGCUACACGUGUUCCGGUGGACACCCUAGCUGGGAAAAACAGAAAACACCGGACAUUUCACAUGAAGCACGUUUCUGGCAUUCGGAGUGGAAGCUGAGGCCAUGAGGACAUUGGUAAUUUUGGCUCUCACGUUCUCUUUGCAGCAGCAACAGCUCCAGCACUGCGGCGUUCAACAAAAGAACAAAGCCAUAUUGUUCAAAACAAACAUACUCCAGUAUCAGCUGGAAAAAACACACAAGUACACUCUCAGACCUCAAUCGCCAAACACAGCUGGACAAAGACUGAGUAAAAAGGCUCGAAACCACAACUGAGGAAGAAAACACCUUUAUCUCAUCUCUAAAGAACUCAAUCAAGUACAGUUUUAGAACUGUUCUUUUAAUACCCUUUUAAACACCUGAAAAUGGCACUUCUUUUCCUGCCGAUUUGUGGCCUUCCAUCUGAAAAACAUUGAUUUUCUCUCUCUGUGUAUUUUGAAUACAGCUAAGACGAUAUGGUUCAUUUUGUUGGCUUGUUUUAAUAUCUCCAGCAUUGAUUGUCACACAGUUCUGAAAAGCAAACUUGCUAGUGAACUGCUGCUGCAAAACCAUCAGGGAGAACAUAGGGUCACACAGUAUUGCUUUUAGGAGCAGUCACACAAAAUUUGUCCAGCCUGUGUCUGAAUUAUCUUCAACUGAAGGAUAGAAAAUAGAA